GACGUAGGGCGCAAGCGUUGUCCGGAAUUAUUGGGCGUAAAGAGCUCGUAGGCGGUCUGUCGCGUCGGCUGUGAAAACUCGGGGCUCAACUCCGAGCUUGCAGUCGAUACGGGCAGGCUAGAGUUCGGCAGGGGAGACUGAAUUCCUGGUGUAGCGGUGAAAUGCGCAGAUAUCAGGAGGAACACCGGUGGCGAAGGCGGCUCACUGGCCCGAUACUGACGCUGAGGCACGAAAGCGUGGGGAGCAAACAGG
rnacentral:rRNA from 1 species